UACGUAGGGUGCGAGCGUUAAUCGGAAUUACUGGGCGUAAAGCGUGCGCAGGUGGCCGCGCAUGUCGAGUGUGAAAUCCCCGGGCUUAACUUGGGAAUUGCGCUCGAAACUACGUGGCUCGAGUGUCGCAGAGGAAGGUGGAAUUCCACGUGUAGCGGUGAAAUGCGUAGAGAUGUGGAGGAACACCGAUGGCGAAGGCAGCCUUCUGGACCAACACUGGCGCUCAGGGACGAAAGCUAGGGGAGCAAAUGGG
rnacentral:rRNA from 1 species